GACGAACGCUGGCGGCGUGCUUAAUACAUGCAAGUCGAGCGAGAAAGCUCCUUCGGGAGUGAGUACAGCGGCGAACGGGUGAGUAACACGUGGGCAACCUGCCCAAAGGAGCGGGACAACUCGAGGAAACUCGAGCUAAUACCGCAUAACGUGUCAUGUCAUAAGGCGUGAUACCAAAAGGUAGCUUCGGCCUCCGCCUUUGGAUGGGCCCGCGGCGCAUUAGCUUGUUGGUGGGGUAACGGCCUACCAAGGCGACGAUGCGUAGCUGGUCUGAGAGGACGAUCAGCCACACUGGGACUGAGACACGGCCCAGACUCCUACGGGAGGCAGCAGUAGGGAAUCUUGCGCAAUGGGCGAAAGCCUGACGCAGCAACGCCGCGUGAGGGAAGAAGGCUUUCGGGUUGUAAACCUCUUUCAGGUGGGACGAAGCUUCCAGGGUUAAUAGCCCAUGGGGUGACGGUACCUCCAGAAGAAGCCCCGGCUAACUACGUG
rnacentral:rRNA from 1 species